GUUCACUGACUCCUCACUCCCUACACUAACCCCGACCCCUUCCUCUGUUACUAUCCUGAACUAAUAAUCCAGUGUGUGGAUUAUUAGCUGUCAUGAAAUCACACAAAUGAUAAACUAACUGACGUCUCUUGCUGAUUGAUAUUUGAUUGACAAUGAUGGUAUCAGUGUCUCAGUGUUGAAUGAAGUUUUUUUUUUUCCUGUGUCGUCAGCAAUGUUGAUGAUAAAAAAUGAGAAGUUGAUAAGUAAAACAUUUACAUUACAUUUAUGCAUUUAUCAGGUGCUUUUAUCCUAAGCGAUUUACAAGAGGAGGAUUAACACUCAAGCAUGUGGUUCCUCUGGGAAUCGAACCCAGGAUGCUCUCUGCUUCUGAGCCGGGCAUGCUAACCGCUAGAACUAUGGAACCAGUAACCAAAAGUUAAUGAAAAAAAGCUUAGCUAAUGUAGAUAAACCCCAAGCCAGUUAGUCUGAAAAUGAUGUCAUGGAUCAAAUAUAACUGAAGAUCAAUUGAUGUGUGAGGUUUAACAAAUAUUGUUGACACUUGACAAUUAAAAAAAGCUGAAUGUUAGACCACAGUUAUAGCCACAAUCUAAUGUUUGAACAAAAACCCUGAUAUUUUGGAAAACCAUAUUUUUAAAUGGUCUGUGAUGAAAGGGGGAAAAAUAUGAGACAAAGGUAAAAAAAAAAAAAAGA